UACAGAGGGGGCAAGCGUUGUUCGGAAUUACUGGGCGUAAAGGGCUUGUAGGCGGUCCGUUAAGUCCGAUGUGAAAUCUCCCGGCUCAACUGGGAGAGGUCAUUGGAUACUGGCGGACUAGAGGGGGGUAGAGGAAAGCAGAAUUCCUGGUGUAGCGGUGAAAUGCGUAGAUAUCAGGAGGAAUACCAGUGGCGAAGGCGGCUUUCUGGGCCUACCCUGACGCUGAGGAGCGAAAGCGUGGGGAGCAAACCGG
rnacentral:rRNA from 1 species